AGUGGAAUUGCUAGAUCAUAUGGUCAUUCUAUGUUUAACUUUUAGAGGAACUGCCAAACUGUUUUCCACAGUGACUGCACCAUUUUACAUUCUCACCAGCAAU
rnacentral:pre_miRNA from 1 species